GAAAAUGAGAGUUUGAUCCUGGCUCAGGACGAACGCUGGCGGCGUGCCUAAUACAUGCAAGUCGAGCGAGCUUGCCUAGAUGAAUUUGGUGCUUGCACCAAAUGAAACUAGAUACAAGCGAGCGGCGGACGGGUGAGUAACACGUGGGUAACCUGCCCAAGAGACUGGGAUAACACCUGGAAACAGAUGCUAAUACCGGAUAACAACACUAGACGCAUGUCU
rnacentral:rRNA from 1 species